rnacentral:rRNA from 1 species
GGGCCCGCACAAGCGGUGGAGCAUGUGGUUUAAUUCGAUGCAACGCGAAGAACCUUACCAGGGCUUGACAUACUGCGAAUCUCCUUGAAAGAGGAGAGUGCCUUCGGGAAUGCAGAUACAGGUGGUGCAUGGCUGUCGUCAGCUCGUGUCGUGAGAUGUUGGGUUAAGUCCCGCAACGAGCGCAACCCUUGUUUUAGUUACCAACUUGUUGGGUUUUCUAGAAAGACUGCCGGUGACAAACCGGAGGAAGGUGAGGAUGACGUCAAGUCAGCAUGCCCCUUAUGUCCUGGGCUACACACGUGCUACAAUGGUUAGGACAAAGAGUCGCAAGUUUGCGAGGACAAGCAAAUCCCAUAAACCGUGGCUCAGUUCAGAUCGUAGGCUGCAACUCGCCUACGUGAAGGCGGAAUCGCUAGUAAUCGCAGGUC